GACGAACGCUGGCGGCGCGCUUAACACAUGCAAGUCGAGCGAGAACCAGGACUUCGGUCCUGGGGACAGCGGCGAACGGGUGAGUAACACGUGGAUAACCUGCCCUCGGCACCGGUAUAGCCCGAGGAAACUCGGAUUAAUACCGGAUAGCCCUUCCGACUCUCGAGUCGGUCCGAAAAGGUAGCUUCGGCCUCUGGCCGAGGAUGGGUCCGCGGCGGAUUAGCUUGUUGGUGGGGUAACGGCCUACCAAGGCAUCGAUCCGUAGCUGGUCUGAGAGGACGAUCAGCCACACUGGGACUGAGACACGGCCCAGACUCCUACGGGAGGCAGCAAUGGGGAAUCUUGCGCAAUGGGCGAAAGCCUGACGCAGCGACGCCGCGUGAGGGAAGAAGGCCU
rnacentral:rRNA from 1 species